rnacentral:sRNA from 1 species
AAUUAUUAAUGGUUCAUCUAUUUAUAUUUCACGUAUAAAAAAAAAACCUGCCCUGAGGCAGGUCUUUAUUAUU